rnacentral:rRNA from 1 species
GACGAACGCUGGCGGCGUGCUUAACACAUGCAAGUCGAACGGUGAAGCGCCUUCCUUUUUGGUGGGUGUGGAUGAGUGGCGAACGGGUGAGUAACACGUGAGUAACCUGCCCCCUUCUUCUGGAUAACCGCAUGAAAGUGUGGCUAAUACGGGAUAUUCUGGGUCUGUCGCAUGAUGGGUCUGGGAAAGAUAUUGUUUCGGUGGGGGGUGGGCUCGCGGCCUAUCAGCUUGUUGGUGGGGUGAUGGCCUACCAAGGCGGUGACGGGUAGCCGGCCUGAGAGGGUGGACGGUCACACUGGGACUGAGACACGGCCCAGACUCCUACGGGAGGCAGCAGGGGGGAAUAUUGCACAAUGGGCGCAAGCCUGAUGCAGCGACGCCGCGUGAGGGAUGGAGGCCUUCGGGUUGUGAACCUCUUUCGCCAGUGAAGCAGGCCUGCCUCGUUUGUGGGUGGGUUGACGGUAGCUGGAUAAGAAGCGCCGGCUAACUACGUG